UACGGAGGAUCCAAGCGUUAUCCGGAAUCAUUGGGUUUAAAGGGUCCGUAGGCGGUUUGGUAAGUCAGUGGUGAAAGCCCAUCGCUCAACGGCGGAACGGCCAUUGAUACUGCCAGACUUGAAUUAUUAGGAAGUAACUAGAAUAUGUAGUGUAGCGGUGAAAUGCUUAGAGAUUACAUGGAAUACCAAUUGCGAAGGCAGGUUACUACUAAUGGAUUGACGCUGAUGGACGAAAGCGUGGGUAGCGAACAGG
rnacentral:rRNA from 1 species